GUUCCUUCCUUCUUCAAUCUUCCAAAAGCAUUAAUUUCCUGAAAAGAUCCAAGCUUCUUCUCACCUUCCUUCUUCAAUCUUUCUUUCUAAUCUCUACUUCAGACCAACUUAUUGUUAUAGUAAGAUUUUCCUUUCUUUUUAAUCGAACAAAAAAUGUCUGAUGCUGCAGUGGAAUUUCUCCUAGAAAACUUGAAGCAGUUGCUUCUUUACAAUGCUAAUCUGAUUCUCGAUGUAAAGGGUCAAGUGGAAUUUCUGUACAAUGAUCUGAGUCUGUUCAAAGCUUUCCUCAAGGACUCGACCGAGAAGCGGAACAAGAAUGCCACGCUCCAAGAAAUGGUGAAACAAAUCAGAGACGUAGUUUAUGAAGCUGAAGAUACUGUGGACACGUUUGUUGCUCAGGCAGCUGUGCACAAGUCCAGGAGUAGCAUCGAGAGAGCUUUUCAUAUAUUCGAUUAUCCUGCAAAGCUUCGAAGUGUGGCCAAAAGGAUUGAGGACAUCAGGACCAAGGUGAAGGAUAUAUAUGAACACAAGAAGUUUGGGUUUGAGGCACUGCAAGAUGGGGAUGGAUCUAGAAAAUCAAAGGAGAAAAAGGCUCCCAUUGUAGAGGAAGACAAUGUGGUGGGAUUUGAAGAUGAGGCAGAAAAGGUUACUAAUCUUCUCACUGGAGGAUCGGACGAACUAGAAGUUAUAUCAAUUGUUGGUAUGCCCGGCCUUGGUAAGACAACGCUGGCAAAAAUGAUAUAUCGUGAUCCUAAAAUUGAAUAUGAAUUCUACAAUCGAGCAUGGGUUUACGUUUCUCAAGAAUAUAGUAGAAAGGAAGUGUUCCUCAAUAUUUGGGGUCAUUUUGCUAAGCCCAGUGAUGAGAUGUAUAGGAUGAAUGAGGAAAGUAUAGCUAGGGAACUUUGUGCGUUUCUGGAGAAAGGAAAGUAUUUAAUUGUCAUGGAUGAUGUCUGGACUGAAGAUGCAUGGAAUGAUCUCAAAAUUGCUUUUCCCAGAAAUAAGAAGCGAAGUAGAAUAUUACUCACUAGUCGUAUCAGGAGAGUGGCUGUGCAUGCUAACCCCACCAUGGAGCCCCAUAAUUUGCGUUUUCUAACUUCGGAUGAGAGUUGGACAUUGCUCCAAAGGAAGGCACUUGGCGGAGAGGAAUGUCCUGAUGAGUUGUUACAACCUGGAAAGCAUAUAGCCAGAGAAUGUGGUGGACUUCCACUUGCUCUAGUGGUGAUUGGAGGAAUUCUACUGGAAAAAGGUACUGAAAGUUAUUGGUGGGAUAAGGUUGCUCAAAGUGUGGAUGCAUAUCUUUCCAUGGAUCAGGAGAAACGCAUGGACAGUUUUAUAGCUUUAAGUUUUAAUCACUUACCUUAUCACUUGAGAGCAUGCUUUCUCUACUUUGGAAUGUUUCCAGAAGAUUUCCAAAUCCCGGUGUGGAAAUUGGUUCACUUGUGGAUCGCUGAAGGGUUCAUACAACAGAAGGAGGGAAUGAGCCUGGAGGAUAUUGCGGAGGAGUACUUAGAUGAUCUUGUCAACAGGAAUUUAGUCAUGGUUGGAAAACGGAGGUCAAACGGAAAAGUUAAAACGUGCCAUGUUCAUGAUAUGCUACACGUGUUUUGCAAGAAACAAGCUGCACAGGAAAACUUUUUCCAAGAAAUUAAACGGUUUGAUCGUGUUACCUAUUCAUCUUCCUACCCUGCCAUGGACAUGUACCGUCGCCUUUGCAUUCAUUCCCGUAUUUUGAAUUAUCUCUCUUCAAAACCAUCUGGUCCUCGUGUUCGGUCCUUCUUGUGUUUCUCCUCUGAAGAAAUUGUCUUGCAAGCUGAACACAUUUCCUCCAUACCUGGAGCAUUUAAAUUGCUCAGGGUUUUAGAUGCUAAACCCAUCUUGUUCACUCGUUUUCCUACUGAUCUAACUCAACUCGUUCAUUUGAGGUAUCUUGUUCUGUCAAGCAAUUUCAAGAUCCUCCCUGCUGCCAUUUCUAGCCUUUGGAACAUGCAAUCUCUUAUAGUUGAGACUUCAUCAAGAACCCUUGAAAUCAAAGGAGAUAUAUGGAAGAUGAUACAACUGAGGCAUCUAAAAACAAAUGCAUCCACAUUUUUACAUGGUCCUCUUGCUAAAUCAAGAAAAAGGAAAGAUGAUUCUUUGAUAAAUGCAAACCUAAGAACACUUUCUACAAUAUGUCCUGAAAGCUGCACAGAAGAUGUCUUCGCAAGGGCUCCUAACCUAAAGAAGUUGGGUAUUCGUGGCCGAUUAGCUAAACUUUUGGAUACCAGGGGUGCAUCUAGUUUGUUUGGUAGCCUGGGAAAAUUGGAUUACCUAGAAGAUUUGAAGCUACUGAAUGAUGUUUUUCCUGAUCCACCUUCUGAAGGCAAACUAGCUGGCCUUCCCCAAAGGUAUAACUUUCCACCAAAGCUAAAGAAGCUGACAUUGGCAGACACCCUUCUUGACUGGAAUCAAAUGGCUACAUUGGGAAUGUUGGAAAGCCUCGAGAUCCUCAAGUUAAAAGACAACGCGUUCAAGGGAGAUUGGUGGCAGCCGGAGGAUGGAGGUUUCCGUGCUCUCAAAGUUUUGUUUAUUGGAAAGACAGAUUUAGUCCAUUGGCAUGCUUCAACUCAUCACUUCCCGAGACUCAGGAGCCUUUAUCUUAAACACUGCAGUAGCCUUGAAGAAGUGCCAUUCAGCCUGGCAGAUGUUUCAAGCCUCCAGCUAAUUGACUUGUACUGUACCACCAAAUCAGCUGCUGCUUCUGCCCAGAAAAUCCAAAAGCAUAAGAAAAAGAUGAAAAAUGAGGCUGAGAAGCAAAGCACCAAACGUAUUGUAUUUAAGCUUUCUGUUUAUCCUCCAGAUCAAGAUCAAUGAUCUCCAUUAUUUCGAGCUCAGGAAUGCUGCCUUCACAGGUGGAUAAUCCCAUGAACAACAAUGCCAGAGAUGUUGAACACAAGAAGUAUGUUGCUUCUACGUCCCUAUUGUAGAGACACGUGGUGAGGAAAGGGAUUUAUGUCCAGUGUUUGUGAUGAAGGGAAGGUGCUGUAGGAGAGGUGGUGGUGGAGAGUAAAGAAGAUAGAGCGACACUUGGUGUAAAUUGAGGUUUUAUUGAAGGGAGUUGAGAAGAUAGAGCGACACUUGGAGUAAAUUGAGGUUUUAUUGAAGGGAGUUGAGAAGAUAGAGCGACACUUGGAGUAAAUUGAGGUUUUAUUGAAGGGAGUUGAGAAGAUAGAGCGACACUUGGAGUAAAUUGAGGUUUUAUUGAAGGGAGUUGAGAAGAUAGAGCGACACUUGGAGUAAAUUGAGGUUUUAUUGAAGGGAAACAUAGAUAUUUUUUGAAGGAUAAAGUUAACACGGUGAAGUUUUGCAUCCGGGGAUUUGAAAAAUAAAUAUUUUUUAUUGCAAAGUUGAAAUAUGAGUUUAUCCUUGAAUUAUUUUGUACACAUUAGGCCAGAGAUAUAUGCCAUCAGUCCAUUUAUCAGUCAACUUUUCAAGAAUGAGAGAUGGUAGAAAUCAAGGGCUGUUGGGUGCCCUGGAUGAGGGGAUUACUCCUUCAAGAAUGCUCUUUUCAAUCCCGGAUUUCUAGCAAGUCUCUUCAAAUGUUUGAUAGCAUAUUAGGCUUCUACUAGUUUGGGUGGUCAAUAUUUGUUCUGCGGUAAACAUCAGUUCUGGGUAUCAACUAUCGUCUAGUAGUGGAUUAUGGUAUAAAUUGUUGACCAAUCAAUUGGCGUUUGACAGCAUUAAAGCUUGAUUCCUUGAACCUUUUGGUAC